rnacentral:sRNA from 1 species
UUGAUAUUUUCGUGCACACGAUAGAUGC